rnacentral:rRNA from 1 species
GUCCACGCCGUAAACGUUGGGCACUAGGUGUGGGGGAUUAUCAACGUCCUCCGUGCCGUAGCUAACGCAUUAAGUGCCCCGCCUGGGGAGUACGGCCGCAAGGCUAAAACUCAAAGGAAUUGACGGGGGCCCGCACAAGCGGCGGAGCAUGUUGCUUAAUUCGAUGCAACGCGAAGAACCUUACCUGGGUUUGACAUGUGGGGAAAAGCCGUAGAGAUACGGUGUCCUUCGGGGUCCCACACAGGUGGUGCAUGGCUGUCGU